rnacentral:rRNA from 1 species
UACGUAGGUGACCAGCGUUGUCCGGAUUUACUGGGCGUAAAGGGCGCGUAGGCGGUCAGCACAAGUCAGUUGUGGAAAUCUCCGGGCUUAACUCGGAAAGGUCAACUGAUACUGUGCGACUAGAGUGCAGAAGGGGCAACUGGAAUUCUCGGUGUAGCGGUGAAAUGCGUAGAUAUCGAGAGGAACACCUGCGGCGAAGGCGGGUUGCUGGGCUGACACUGACGCUGAUGCGCGAAAGCCAGGGGAGCGA